UAGAGUGCCUAUUGAAAACUUUUAACAAUUUUCCAUAAUCUUCUUGUAUGUUAAACCAAUUCAUAUUUUUCUCUUGUAACUCCCCCAAUUAUUCGCUUGCACAUAAAAAAAGAGUCAAGAUGGCUUGGUUGAGUCCCAUGUGUUUAAGAAUCAUUAUUUUUUUCACAAGCAGAUGCUCAAAGCGUAAUUGCAAAUUGUAGCAGUGCUUCGUUCUCCAUCCUCUACUCUGAAAAUGACGAUUUCCUUCGAAAAAACAUUGAUUGUUGUCGGUACGAUUAAGCAUGUGCGAUCUCUUGUUCCAAUCUUCAAACCUCUGUUUUAAAAAUAAUAUGAUUUUAAUAUUAUUUAUGACA